rnacentral:rRNA from 1 species
AUUGAACGCUGGCGGCAUGCUUUACACAUGCAAGUCGAACGGCAGCGCGGGCUUCGGCCUGGCGGCGAGUGGCGAACGGGUGAGUAAUGCCUCGGAACGUGCCUAGUAGUGGGGGAUAGCCCGGCGAAAGCCGGGUUAAUACCGCAUACGACCUGAGGGUGAAAGCGGGGGACCGAAAGGCCUCGCGCUAUUGGAGCGGCCGAUGUCGGAUUAGCUAGUUGGUGGGGUAAAGGCUUACCAAGGCGACGAUCCGUAGCUGGUCUGAGAGGACGACCAGCCACACUGGGACUGAGACACGGCCCAGACUCCUACGGGAGGCAGCAGUGGGGAAUUUUGGACAAUGGGGGCAACCCUGAUCCAGCCAUGCCGCGUGCGUGAAGAAGGCCUUCGGAUUGUAAACCGCUUUUGUUCGGGAAGAAAUCCUCUGAGCUAAUACCCCGGGGUGAUGACGGUACCGGAAGAAUAAGCACCGGCUAACUACGUG